GACGAACGCUGGCGGCGUGCUUAACACAUGCAAGUCGAACGGAAAGGCCCUGCUUUUGUGGGGUGCUCGAGUGGCGAACGGGUGAGUAACACGUGAGUAACCUGCCCUUGACUUUGGGAUAACUUCAGGAAACUGGGGCUAAUACCGGAUAGGAGCUCCUGCUGCAUGGUGGGGGUUGGAAAGUUUCGGCGGUUGGGGAUGGACUCGCGGCUUAUCAGCUUGUUGGUGGGGUAGUGGCUUACCAAGGCUUUGACGGGUAGCCGGCCUGAGAGGGUGACCGGCCACAUUGGGACUGAGGGACGGCCCAGACUCCAACGGGAGGCAGCAGGGGAGAAUAUUGCACAAUGGGCGGAAGCCUGAGGCAGCAACGCCGCGUGCGGGAUGACGGCCUUCGGGUUGUAAACCGCUUUCGCCGGUGACGAAGCGUGAGUGACGGUAAUGGGUAAAGAAGCACCGGCUAACUACGUG
rnacentral:rRNA from 1 species